UACGUAGGGUGCGAGCGUUAAUCGGAAUUACUGGGCGUAAAGUGUGCGCAGGCGGCCGAGCAAGUCGAGUGUGAAAUCCCCGGGCUUAACUUGGGAAUUGCGCUCGAAACUACUUGGCUUGAGUGUGGCAGAGGAAGGUGGAAUUCCACGUGUAGCGGUGAAAUGCGUAGAUAUCUGGAGGAAUACCGGUGGCGAAGGCGGCAUCCUGGACCGGCAUUGACGCUGAAGCGCGAAAGCUAGGGGAGCAAACGGG
rnacentral:rRNA from 1 species